rnacentral:pre_miRNA from 1 species
CCCCAAUCCCUGAGACCUUAACUUGUGACGUGACGUGUGAUGCAAUUCGCACAGGUUAAGAUCUCGGGUCAAUGGG